UUUUUUUGUUUUUGCUAGCAGUAAUCUAUGUUUGUGCUGUGUUACGUUCAUUUAACAAUAAGUUGUGAGAUAUGGCCAACUCGAGUUUCCGUACUUUGUGCUAAAUCAAUUUUUUUUCUUUACUGGAGUUAAAUUCAGACGUUUCAUCUUUCUGAGUAGACAAGUUCUAGAUCUAUAUAGAGUUUAGUAAAUGUGAUGAUCUAUUUUUGUAGUCCUCCCAUUUCAUCAGGUUUCACUUACUCCAGCGUGCAACCUUGACCGUGAAUUCAGCAAUGUCGAGGUCAUCUCUACUAGGUCUACUUCAGCGUGUAACUUCAAUUCUCAAGAGCAACAUUAGUAACGGGUCAAGGUGUUACAGACGGUCAUUUGGUACUGUAGCUAAUGGUCAGAUAA
rnacentral:sRNA from 1 species